rnacentral:rRNA from 1 species
CAGUAGCCGCGGUAAUACGUAGGUGGCAAGCGUUGUCCGGAAUUAUUGGGCGUAAAGCGCGCGCAGGUGGUUUAAUAAGUCUGAUGUGAAAGCCCACGGCUCAACCGGGGAGGGUCAUUGGAAACUGGGAAACUUGAGUGCAAAAGAGGAGAGUGGAAUUCCACGUGUAGCGGUGAAAUGCGUAGAGAUGUGGAGGAACACCAGUGGCGAAGGCGACUCUCUGGUCUGUAACUGACGCUGAGGAGCGAAAGCGUGGGGAGCGAACAGGAUUAGAUACCCCGGUAGUCCCUGUCUCUUAUAC